AAAAAAAGAAAGAAAAGAAAAGAAGAUAGAAAAGAAAAAAAUUCUCUUUUAAAGAGAUUUUUAAAUAAUAAGAAAAUCUUAUGUAUCUAACCACGUACCUUUCCAUUUAGUAUGAUUUUCUUUUGAUCUGAAGGACAUACAUUAUGAAUUCUUUCACCCUCAUUAUGAAUUCUUUCACCUUGAAAUAGCUUCAUUUGUGAAAGAUACUUUUGCUGGGAAAGAAUUCUAAAUUUACAGCAUUUUCCUUUCAGUCCUUCAAACACGUUGCUGAUCAGUGUUCUCAUUUGCUUUGUCUCCAAUACAAAAGCUGCUGUCAUCUUUAUGAUUUUUCCCAUGAAGUAUUUUCUUCUUCCUCUGCUGCUUUUCACAUUCUUUUCUCUGGUGAACAAAUACAGGUUAUUUCAGCCCUCAAUAAAAUUUAGCAAAAAGUCUUUGGGAGAACUGGCUGGUGGGUUUUUUGUUUGUUGGUUGAUUUUUCAUAAAUUCUUAAAAGCAGAUGUUUGUCUCUCACUUAAUUGAUUCUCAUGUAAAUUUUCUUAGAAUAUUUUUGACCUGGGAAAUUUUGUAAUUAACUUUAUAUGUCAACUUGGCUGGGCCAUAGUGCCCAGAUAUUUGUUAAAACAUUGUACUGGAUGUUUACCAGAGGGUGUUUUAUGGAUGAGAUUAACAAUUAAUUUGUAGUUUGAGUAAAGCAGAAUGCUCUCCUCAUUAUUACUGGAUUUCAUUCAAUAGUUCAAACCUUGACUAGAACAGAACACCUGAACAACAGUGUCUGGAGAGCUUCCAUAUUGCUGAUCCACGUGCUGUGAGGGUGAUGUACCCCAAAUUCAUAGGACCAAAGGCUUCUGCACUUGGACCACUUCUAGAUCUUAUCUGUAUACCUCUACCUCUGGCUGCUUGUUUGUGCCCUUUAUAAACUGUAAUAAUAAACGGCCUUUACCUCGGUUCUGUUAGGUUUUCUAUGAAAUUAUCAACACUUAGGAAAGAGGCUACAGAAACCUCCAACAUUAUACCAGGUAAAAGAGAAGUGUAGGUAACCUAGGGUCUCCAUGCUUGCUCUGGCAUGUUAAAUGAGGGAAGCCUUGUG
rnacentral:lncRNA from 1 species